ACCAAAGUCCAAAAGUAAUUGGAAAGUAAAAAGGGAAAAACGUAAAAAACAAACAAAAUGGAUCUCUAUGGAAGGAGACCAAAAUAUGAACAAAAUUUUCCAGAUUUGGAAGGUGAGGUACCUCUUCCGAGUGUGGAUCUUCGCUAAGUUUCUGAGUGAUUUGUCAAUGUUUGUAUUGUAGAUGGCGGAGAAAUUGAUUAUGGGAAGAAUUUUUUUCUGCUAGUGUAUUGAUGGGAAAUAGCAGUGAUUAUAAUUAGCUAAUUAAGAUCUAAAUAUGCAUUUGUUUUUAAGGAGCUGUCCCAAACUAUAGGCAUUAUGUGAAGGGUAACAAAAUAUACAUUGAUCAGAUGAAGGGUAACAAAAUAUACACAGAGUUCCAAUGUUUUUCUGGUGGUUUUUUGGGUGCAAUUCUAAUGUUAUUUUAGAGAUGAUUCUGAUGCUGUUGUUUUGGUUUAAUUCCAAUGAUGUUUUAAUAUUUUUAUUAUGAAAAUUUAGUGCAGCUUUGGAUGUUUUCUGCUGUUGUUUUGGUGCAACUUUGGGUCUGUAGCAUUGUGAAUAUAAAUGAAGAUUCAACAUGUUAUAUAAAGCAAGGCACUCCUUCAACAAAUUUGAUAGAAUUAUUAUAAAUCAUUGUUCAUUAUGACUACCUUUGAACAUAUAUAUUGGAAGAAUGAAGAUGAAUUGCUUGGAGCUUUAGAAUAUCUAAUUCCUAUUCUGAAUAUAUCAGCUCAGAAAUUGAUGUGAAUCCACCAUAUUGUUCACCAAAGUGUUGCAUGUUUUUUAACAUAUGGGAAUAAGGUAUGUCUCUUAAAUUGCACUAACGUAUUUGUAGAAAUCAGCUAAUAGUGUGUUGUUUAGAUUUUGUAUGCAGUAAAGUUAACUUUAAUGAUCCUUCUGUUACUAAUGAAUGUUAAACUAUAAGUCAGAGAAUAUAAAAUACACAUUAAGACAACAUGUAGAAGAUUAACAACAUAAAUUUAAAAACAACCCCACAAAC